ACCCUAAAAGCUUUCAAUUUCCUCAUCUGUAAAAUGGAGGUUUGGGUUAUCUGGAGAGCUGUUUUAAGGGUAAGAUGAAUUAGCAAAUGAACCAGUGUCUGCAAUCCUUGUUCACUAUUAGUUUCUGGCCUCUCAGGCUUCCAUUCUUAGUUCCUUAGCCAAUUAUAUGUCGACAAUGUGGAUCAUCUGUGAGCCUGACAAGGCUCCUGUCCUCACACAGUCUGUGGUCUAUAACAUACUAGGGUGACAGUGACAAGCAUGAGGUCAGAGGUCACAGUGGUUUGGUCAGAAGCUCACUUUGGUCUAAACCUCUCUACUCCCAGAGUUCUCAGGCCUAAGUGGGGAUAAAAUAGUAUCUAUGUUAUAAGGGUAAUAAGGAGGUUAAAUAAGAACAUGAGAUUCAGUUGGUCCUUAAUGAGGAGAAGCUGGGUUUUGAAAAGGUGGGUUAGAUAAAGUGAUUAAGUGUGGCUGGGGUGGAGCUAUGUCCAGGGUGAGCACCUCAGAGGUGUGUUUGUGCCUCUCCAGAGCUCAUCAGUUUUUCUCCCAAAGACCCUGGACUGGAGACUCAGCACGGCUUCCCAGGUUCACGAAUGAUGAAAUACUCUGUGAAGUUCAGAAAGAAUUUGGAGCUUUACAAGCCUGGGAGAUGGAAAAGACUUGGGCCUGCUAGGUCUCUUAUCUCAGCUCAGGAAAGCAGAAAAAGUCCCAGGCCUCCCUAACUUGGUCUGAAAUAAUCCCGGCGCAAUCGACAAAGGCUAAAGAUGGCUUAAUGGGAAAAAUUACCCUGGAAUUUCCAAAUUUAAACUUCUUCAUGAAGAGCUCCUCUUCCCUUCGCAAGCAGAGAUUCAGAUUUGGAGUCUCUCAGUUUGCAGGGUGCGGAUGGCAACCUGUAAUGAUACUCAGAUACUUUGCUGGUUUGUGAAGAUUAGAUUAGUUACCUAUAUGAAAAAAUAAAAGUGAUCAAGGAAUGUCUCAAACACAAAUAAUGGUAAUUUUCUUCCCAUUCCAUUCCCAAAUGAGGAUAGUAUGGAGUGAUUGCUGCAGAACUAGAGGCUAUUUAACACUCAGGGAAUGUUAUUGAUCUCAUCUGUACUAAGCCCAAUCAAUUAACUGAAAGGGUCAAAGGUCAAAUCAAACCUUCAGGCCUGAUAGGUAUUGCUCUACUCUGCACCUUCCAGAGCCUCAGGAAGAAGGCCACUUCCCACUUGG